CCAGUAGGCGGCCAACUAAGUCCGACGUGAAAUCCCAAGGCUUAACCUUGGAACUGCGUCGGAUACUGGAUGGCUUGAAUUCGGGAGAGGGAUGCAGAAUUCCAGGUGUAGCGGUGAAAUGCGUAGAUAUCUGGAGGAAUACCGGUGGCGAAGGCGGCAUCCUGGACCGACAUUGACGCUGAACGGCGAAAGCUAGGGAGCAAACG
rnacentral:rRNA from 1 species